rnacentral:rRNA from 1 species
GGGAUUAGGCAGCAGUGGGGAAUUUUGGACAAUGGGCGCAAGCCUGAUCCAGCCAUGCCGCGUGUCUGAAGAAGGCCUUCGGGUUGUAAAGGACUUUUGUCAGGGAAGAAAAGGGCGGGGUUAAUACCCCUGUCUGAUGACGGUACCUGAAGAAUAAGCACCGGCUAACUACGUGCCAGCAGCCGCGGUAAUACGUAGGGUGCGAGCGUUAAUCGGAAUUACUGGGCGUAAAGCGGGCGCAGACGGUUACUUAAGCAGGAUGUGAAAUCCCCGGGCUCAACCUGGGAACUGCGUUCUGAACUGGGUGACUAGAGUGUGUCAGAGGGAGGUAGAAUUCCACGUGUAGCAGUGAAAUGCGUAGAGAUGUGGAGGAAUACCGAUGGCGAAGGCAGCCUCCUGGGAUAACACUGACGUUCAUGCCCGAAAGCGUGGGUAGCAAACAGGAUUAGAUACCCUGGUAGUCCACGCCCUAAACGAUGUCGAUUAGCUGUUGGGCAGCAUGACUGCUUAGUAGCGAAGCUAACGCGUGAAAUCGACCGCCUGGGGAGUACGGUCGCAAGAUUAAAACUCAAAGGAAUUGACGG